rnacentral:rRNA from 1 species
AACGAACGCUGGCGGCAUGCCUAACACAUGCAAGUCGAACGAGACCUCCGGGUCUUGUUGCGCAGGGGUGCGUAACACGUGGGAAUCUGCCCUUCGGCUGGGUACAACUGAGAGAAAUUUCAGCUAAUACCUUAUAAUGUCUUCGGACCAAAGAUUUAUCGCCGAGGGAUGAGCCCGCGUAGGAUUAGGUAGUUGGUGGGGGAAUGGCCUACCAACGCGACGAUCCUUAGCUGGUCUGAGAGGAUGAUCAGCCACGCUGGGGCUGAGACACGGCCCAGACUGCUACGGAGGGGAGCAGUAGAGAAUAUUAGACGCUGGGCGAAGGCCUAGUCCAGCAAUGCGGCGUAAGUGAUGAAGGCGUUAGGAUUGUAAAGCUCUUUUACACGAGGUGAUAGUGACAGUACCGGGAGAAUAAGCUCCGGCUAACUCCGUG